rnacentral:rRNA from 1 species
CCUACGUGGUGCAGCAGUGGGGAAUAUUGCACAAUGGUGGAAACCCUGAUGCAGCGACGCCGCGUGAGUGAAGAAGUAAUUCGUUACGUAAAGCUCUAUCAGCAGGGAAGCAAAUGACGGUACCUGAGUACGACUCCCCGGCUCACUCCGUACCAGCAGCCGCGGUCAUACGUAGGGGGCAAGCGUUAUCCGGAUUUACUGGGUGUAACGGGGGCGUAGACGGUGCGCCAAGUCUGGAGUGAAAUGCCGGAGCUUAACCGCGGAACUGCUGUGGAAACUGGCGAACUAGAGUGCGGGAGGGGUAAGCGGAAUGCCCGGUGUAGCGGUGAAAUGCGUAGAUAUCAGGAGGAACACCGGUGGCGAAGGCGGCAUACUGGAUCGUAACUGACGUUGAGGCUCGAAAGCGUGGGGAGCAAACAGGAUUAGAUACCCUGGUAGUC